UUUUUUUGCACUCAAUACAUUUUUUAUUGCUGUUUUUCUUUUUCAAAAUCUUUUUGUCUAUGUACAACAGCAUAAAAAUCUUUGCCUUAAUCAUACAAAGCAACACUACAAGGUAUUGGUUUUCUUCUUCUUCUUCAUCUAUAGCAUAGUAGAGCCAUGUUGGUUUGCACCGGGGGCUCGCGGGAGCCAAAGACCCCCACCAUUGCCCCCGGUGCAGCCACACACCCCCUCACAGGACCAUCAUAUAAAAUGCUCUGGCGUACAAAGACUGAAAAAAACGUCCCGUCAUUUAUAUAAAGCCCUACUGGAUAUCAAAAAAUAUAGGAAGUAUUCUAACAUGGCUAUCAAGCUGCUAAGAUGCAUAUUUCUCUUUCCUAAAAAUAGCCCUCUAUAAUCUCAACUGCUAUUUCUUUGCAAAAUACAAGUAGAAUCUGACAUUUCAUAUACAUUCCUGCUUUAUAUACUUUUUAUAUAUAUAUGCAUAUUUAAUAUAUAUAUUUGUGUAUAUUUUAAGAGGCCACAAGUAAAUACUAUUUUCUUUGCAACAAUUAAAAAUAACAAAUAAAAUAAAAGACAACAAUAAAACAACAGAGACUUACAGUAAAACACAAAGACAUGUCUCAAGUGGAUUUUGUUUUUAAAGUAGCUGUGAAGCAUUUACACACUGCACACACACACUCACUGCACACACACACACACACACACACACACGCACACCUACUCGACACCUAUCAUCUGUGUGACUGAGGUUUGAUGUUAUAUUUUUUCCCAACAUGGCUGCCCUGAUGUGGAGCAUAGCGGAGUAGUGUGUGCUGGCAGGAAAGUGUGUGUGUGUGUGUGUGUGUGUGUGUGUGUGUGUGUGUGUGUAUGUGUCAUCGUACACACAGUAAGGUGUGUUUUGAAGGAGAGACACAAAGAUGGAUAUCAGAGGACAGAUGUGUGUGCUCUCUUCACCAUAGCACACACAUACACACACACACACACACACACGCGCUCCCUUCAACAUAGCACACACAUACACAUACACAAACACACACACACAUACACACACAUGCUCCUUUCACCAUAGCAUACACAUACACACACACACACACACACACACACACACACUCCUGCUUCAACAUGCAUGUCAGAUAUCCAUAAGGUCUCAGAGGGUUUGCUUGACAACAGUAGUACCAUGAUCAAAUAAAACGCACAAAAAUAUAAAAAUGUAAAAUAAAACACAGACACAAUCAAAAACAAAAUGAAACACAAAUAAUCGGUUUGAUUUUCACCAAUCCUCUGUGGUGAAGACACACACACACACAAAACACACACAUACACAAUUGUCCAAUAUCUAUAUCAUCCACUCACACUACCACACAUUACAAUGGCCUGAAUCCAAUCCAAUUCAUACUUAACACUUCUUUCAGUAUCGUAUGAGUACAUAUUCACAUUAGCAGAAGAAGACGUAGGUGAAACCCCAGACCAUAAAUUCACUGGGCUGACUCCACACACACACACACACACACACACACACACACACACACACACACACACACACACACACACACGCGGCUGACUCCACAUACAGGCCUUGGCAAGAUGCUGAGUUCAGUGUUUCCGGGAAGUUAUUAAUCAAACAGUCCUGUCUCAAAAGCCUUUAUGCUCAGACAAACACACACAAACACACACCUUCACUCUCAUGCAGACAUACAUAAAAGUGCUAUUGAAAUGAUAUGUGUGUGUGUGUGUGUGUGUGUGUGAAUGGGACUAUAAGUUUGGUUGAGUGCAAUAGAGCUGGUCGACACAGAUGAUAGGCUUGGUCAGGGGAGUGUGUGUGACCUGGUUGUGGAAUGUGUCUGCAUCCGAGUGUGUCCAGUGAGACAAACACACGAUGAAAUUCAAACGUCCAUUACUGGUCAUAAGCAUCCGUUCACAGCCAUCCUGUUUCACAGCCAUCCAAAUAAUGUGUGUGUGUGUGUGUGUGUGUCUGAGUAUGUGUGUGUCUGAGUAUGUGUGUGUCUACUAAAGUCCAACGUUAUUACAGCUUCAUUACAGAGUAACAGUUUGGAACUUUCAGAACAGAACUUUCUUCAUUAGGUUCCGGGUCAAAGUUUCUCUCUGUUUCCAGUUAUUUGUUUGUUUGUUUGUUUGUUUGUUUAUGUAUUUUUGUUUUCAUUUUCAUUCUUUCUGAGGCAUGGGUGAGGAAGACAGACGCUAAACUAACCUCGGUCUGCGGCCAGAACCCUUUGGUAGGGGUGGACACGCAGGUCGUGCCUCCUAAUCUUAGCCGCCACCGCACCUGCUAGGGAGUAGCGACAUCAUCAUCAUCAUCAUCAUCAUCAUCAUCAUCAUAAACAUCAUCAUCAUCAUCAUCGGUUAUCAUAGCAUCAAUCAGACUGUUCAUUACAAUUCAUCAGAGACGCAGAAGCAGAGUAACAGUCUCCACAGAUGAAAAAAACAACACGGAAAGAAGUCAUCUAAAUCAGUUCAUCCAACCAGGAGGCUCCCACAGAAUAGUGAUCCAACUGUGGACAUUAACAAAUGAUGGAGAAAAAAAAAAACAAUAGAAAGUACAUGAUAAAAAACACACAUAUUUAAGGCACAAAUAAUACUUUUCUCUUUUAUAGGUUUAGCACACUUGAGCUGUAAAAAAUUCACAUCGUAGCACUUAGCGGAAAUAAUAAUAAUCAUUUAAAAAAAAACACAGGGUGGUCGAAGCCACUUGGAACACAUCUUGGCAACCGUUUGAUGGACAAGAGGACGAGCCUAUGGGCAGACACAGGGGGCAGGGGCUUGGCUAGUCAAGUGAGCUGACCAGGAGAUUGGCACUGUAACCCAGCUUCCCACACAACAGCUGCCCCUGCAGACCCAGGCCAGAUCAGGGCCAGACCAGGGCCAGACUAGGGCCAGCUGCUUUUGAGUAAUAACACUGAUUAAUUGCAACUUCCAGUUGCUAAGUGUUUAGACACACAUGCAGAAAAGGAGAAACACUUUUAUAAAGGGAGAGGGGUUAGUCAAGCAGGUCAAGCAGAAUGAAAGGCAUACAGUGAGGAGUUAGAGUGUGUGUGUGUGUGUGUGUGUGUGUGUGUGUGUGUGUGUGUG
ensembl:lncRNA